GGUGAAGGGGCGGGGCGGUGGCAAAGGUGCCGCCCUCUCGGGCCUCUGCGCGCGGCCGCAGCGUGCUUAUGAAUACUCAUGAAGUGGGCGGGGGGCGCCACGCACCUCUUUUCGGACGCCCUUUCCCGCUUCCUUUAGUUUGGUCUGGAGGGGCUCGGAGGUGGAAGGGGCGCCUGAGGUGGCGGCGUCGCGGGUGGGGCGUCGUCGGCAAAAGGCUCCGUCCCUCAGGAGCCAUUUAGCCCACAGGCCGAAGCCGCGCGUGACGUCAGCUGCCUUUCCCUCAGUGGGAGAUGGCCGAGGCGAGCCCCGUGGGCCGAGAUGCGAGGGGAGCCCUUGGCUGACCAGUGCCGUGAGGAACUCUUCACAAGGAACCCGCGACUUACUUCGUGUUAUUACCUCACUUACCCUACGUAAGAGGUGGAUGAGCUCUAAAACAGUAAUUUUUUUAGUAAAAAUGGAGAAGCAAAACAGGCGUACACCCCCCCCCUUCCAGUAUUUUUAACUUUCGGCUUCAGUUAUUGGGAAGAAAGCAGCCUCGGGUGGCGAUCAGCAGUACCGGACAGUAUUCGGAUCGUGUUGCUCAUUGGGAAGCAAGACCACUGAAAACGGCAGAAGCGUGGAAGGAUUGCGGCCCAUCUCUCCUGAAAACGCUACUUGUCCUUCAUACAGUAGUUAGAUAAGAGGUAGUUAAAGGGCUGGGGAGCUAUACAUAAAAUUUUAGGAGCUUAACUGAGAACAGUCAUACUAGUUUCUGCUUUUGAUUGGGAUUUUUAUAUUUUAACGUAUUUGCAUCUUGGCCUUCCCCUAUAAAAACUUCUUAGAGAAAGGUUAUAAACAUAAGAGUGAGCGAAAGCAAAGCAUGGGAAACAUCUCUGGAAUCCAACCCCUCGCCACUUUCGCUUCCAGCCUUCUCUGGCUUGAAAGAAGGUGGGGAUAAAAGAAAAUGCACACGCUUGACAUGUUGUAUAUCUGGCCUCUUUAGUUGCUGUUUUACUUUCCACUGAAUCCUACAGAAGUGAAUCUGUGCUCAUAGGAGAAAAUAGGCUGUUGCCCAUAACAGCUCAAUCACAACUAGUUCUUAGCAGAGUUGUGUAAACUACAAACAUUUGGUAGACAUGAAUAGGGAUCUACCUACUUAUAUAAACAUUUAGUUUAUAUAGACUGUUGCUUACCUUGAGCCUUCAGGCAUAAAUUGGGUAGAUUAAUAAAUAAAUUAUCCAUUUAUUUUCCUUCCACAAUGGCUGGAAUUUCGUAAAUGUUGGGACUUGAGAGUAUAUAUUAUUAGGCUUGAGCUGCUGUGCCCAGCUGUCUAUUCCCAUUAAAAACAAUGCAACUGUGUUGGAUGUUAAAGGCUGUGGGCUAGCAAUCGGGCAAUCUUUUCAAAAUAAAAUUGAUAACAAAACUUGUAUGUUAUGUAUUAAGAAAUCUAAACAUUUGUAAAAGAAAAAAAUACUGCUGCACCUUCAAGACUAGACAACUUAUUGCGCCACAAGCUGUCCAUAAGACUCUUUCAUCAGAUAGAAAAAUUAGUGCCAAACAUUUUACCACUUGGCUUGGAAUAGGCCAGAUACCUUACAAUGAGUCUAGCAGUGCUCAUGCUUGCACAUGAGCAAAAUUUAAGGGAACAGGUAAAUCUUUAAACAGGCAGAAUUAGAGAAUUGCAUCCAAUGAUAGCCUCCAGCUAGCAAAUAUGCUUCCUGUGUUAGGCGAGGCACUUGGAAUUUACUCACAAUUUUUACCCAGCGCAGCCUUUGGGUCUCCCAAAAUCUGCUCCUGGUGGUUGGGAGACCCUCUGGAGCAGAAGGGGAUUUGAUAAGGCAGAGGUCAGCAACCUUUAUCAGCUGUGGUCCACCAUCCCUCAGACCAUGUGGUGGGCCAGACUAUAUUUUGGGGGGGAAAUGAAUGAAUCCCUAUGCCCCACAAAUAACCCAGAGAUGCAUUUUAAAUAAAAGCACACAUUCUACUCAUGUAAAAACACGCUGAUUCCCGGACCUUCCAGGGGCCGGAUUGAGAAGGCAACGGGGCUGCAUCCGGCCCCCGGGCCUCAGGUUGCCUACCCCUGCAAUAAGGCAUAAACAGAAGGUUACAAUUGGUAGUGAGAAUUAGUGAAAAUGGAGUUCCUCUCCUUGCAUCAGUUGAACCAUUUUAUUAUCACAAAGCCACUACUGGAAACAACCAAUAGUAUUUUCCCACAAAUUAUUGUUGAGUAUUUAUUUACUGUUUUAUAUGUUCAAGGGCAUUACCCCCCAAAAGUAUGCCGAUAUUGCAAACUUUGUGAUACAGUAAAUGAAAAUUUAUAAAUGUGUACAUGGGAGUAACAGUUGUUCAGCUAACCAUCUUUAGACUAAGGCAGGCAAAACCAGCUGCGUCUUUAGAUUCAAGGAAAAUUACCAGUAUGGCAGUCAGCAACCAGCCCUUGAGAAAAUGUUGGGACUAGAGUCAAUAUUCAAAAAUACAUUCUUAUUUUGAUUUUUGUGAUAACUUAUGGAUAGAACAAUAAUUCUAUUUGUAAUGUUUCUAGGUAUCUCACAGUGUUGUAAAGUAUCAGAGCAGGUAGCAUUUCUACAACAGAGACAGAAAAAAUUAAGGACAUAAAAUAAAAACAUAGCCACUUUUAAAAUAACUCCCUGUUGGCUUAACUCCCAGCCACCAAAUGCCCGUCCAAAUGAAAAAGGGCUGGCAUUGCUUUUGGAAAAUGCUUGAGCUUUGGCGAAACUCCAAAAGAGAGGAGAAGCAGUUGCUGUGAUUGCCUCUCCAGGUGUCCUUGACCUUCAUAGGUUUUGCACAGCUGAUAUUGCAAUAAAGGCCAUCUUAGUAGGUCUGAAUGAUC
rnacentral:lncRNA from 1 species